rnacentral:rRNA from 1 species
GGAACGAACGCUGGCGGCAUGCCUAAUACAUGCAAGUCGAACGAACACUUCGGUGUUAGUGGCGCACGGGUGCGUAACGCGUGGGAAUCUGCCCUUGGGUUCGGAAUAACAGUUGGAAACGACUGCUAAUACCGGAUGAUAUCGAAAGAUCAAAGAUUUAUCGCCCAGGGAUGAGCCCGCGUAGGAUUAGCUAGUUGGUGAGGUAAAGGCUCACCAAGGCGACGAUCCUUAGCUGGUCUGAGAGGAUGAUCAGCCACACUGGGACUGAGACACGGCCCAGACUCCUACGGGAGGCAGCAGGUAGGGAAUA